GACGAACGCUGGCGGCGUGCUUAACACAUGCAAGUCGAACGGUAAGGCCCUUCGGGGUACACGAGUGGCGAACGGGUGAGUAACACGGGGGUGAUCUGCCCUGCACUUUGGGAUAAGCCUGGGAAACUGGGUCUAAUACCGGAUAGGACCACGGCCUGCAUGGGUUGUGGUGGAAAGCUUUUGCGGUGUGGGAUGGGCCCGCGGCCUAUCCGCUUGUUGGUGGGGUGAUGGCCUACCAAGGCGAGGACGGGUAGCCGGCCUGAGAGGGUGUCCGGCCACACUGGGACUGAGAUACGGCCCAGACUCCUACGGGAGGCAGCAGUGGGGAAUAUUGCACAAUGGGCGCAAGCCUGAUGCAGCGACGCCGCGUGGGGGAUGACGGCCUUCGGGUUGUAAACCUCUUUCACCAGGGACGAAGCGCAAGUGACGGUACCUGGAGAAGAAGCACCGGCCAACUACGUGCCAGCCGCCGCCGUAA
rnacentral:rRNA from 1 species